GAGUUUGAUCAUGGCUCAGGACGAACGCUGGCGGCGUGCCUAAUACAUGCAAGUAGAACGCUGAAGAAAGGAGCUUGCUUCUUUUGGAUGAGUUGCGAACGGGUGAGUAACGCGUAGGUAACCUGCCUUGUAGCGGGGGAUAACUAUUGGAAACGAUAGCUAAUACCGCAUAACAGCUUUUGACACAUGUUAGAAGCUUGAAAGAUGCAAUUGCAUCACUACGAGAUGGACCUGCGUUGUAUUAGCUAGUAGGUAGGGUAACGGCCUACCUAGGCGACGAUACAUAGCCGACCUGAGAGGGUGAUCGGCCACACUGGGACUGAGACACGGCCCAGACUCCUACGGGAGGCAGCAGUAGGGAAUCUUCGGCAAUGGGGGCAACCCUGACCGAGCAACGCCGCGUGAGUGAAGAAGGUUUUCGGAUCGUAAAGCUCUGUUGUAAGAGAAGAAUGUGUGUGAGAGUGGAAAGUUCACACAGGUGACGGUAACUUACCAGAAAGGGACGGCUAACUACGUGCC
rnacentral:rRNA from 1 species